UCCUGGCUCAGGAUGAACGCUAGCGGCAGGCUUAACACAUGCAAGUCGAGGGGCAGCGCGAGUAGCAAUACUUGGCGGCGACCGGCGCAAGGGUGCGUAACGCGUGAGCAACAUGCCCGUAUCAGGGGGAUAAUCCAGGGAAACUUGGUCUAAUACCCCAUAGUAAUUUUGUAAGGCAUCUUAUAAGAUUUAAAGCUUUGGUGGAUACGGAUUGGCUCGCGUGACAUUAGCUGGAUGGUAAGGUAACGGCUUACCAUGGCUAUGAUGUCUAGGGGUUCUGAGAGGAAGGUCCCCCACACUGGAACUGAGACACGGUCCAGACUCCUACGGGAGGCAGCAGUGAGGAAUAUUGGACAAUGGAUGGAAAUCUGAUCCAGCCAUGCCGCGUGAAAAGGAAGAAGGUCCUAUGGAUUGUAAACUUCUUUUGUAUGGGAGCAAUAAGGCCUACGAGUAGGUUGAUGAGAGUACCAUACGAAUAAGCACCGGCUAACUCCGUGCCAGCCGCCGC
rnacentral:rRNA from 1 species